GCGGGCGAGCGCGGGGCCGGAGCGGCUCAGCCGGCGGAGAAAGCCUGCCGUACCUGAGCGGCUCAGAUAUUUCCAGCACCUUUUCCGACGGGCGGCCAUCGGGCAGGGGCUCGCUCCGGGCACGCCGCGGGGCCGCGUCUAGCUGCCAGACGCCGCCGCGUUCAGUUCCAAAUGGUUAUCAAUUACGAUCCGAGCGAAGGGAGCGCGAACCUGAGCGAGAAGCCUCGCCCCGGGCUGGGGCACGGCGGGAGGAGACCGGGAGCCGCUCCGCGUCCUCCCUUCGGCGGGGAAGGGACGAGCCCGGGGCGCAGCCGGCAAUACAAAGGCUG